CUCCUAUUCCACCUCCCAAGUCUUCAGAGCAGCCCAGACAGCCCAAGGGUGGAGAAGCAAGGCAGGGAAAGGGACAGGCCAGAAGCUUCAUAGAU